UGGCCUGCAUCAAUAGGAGUAUAGCGUCUAGAUCCAGGGAAGUCAUGCUACCCCUCUAUUCUGCCUUAAUCAGGCCACACUUGUGUCCAAUUCUGGGCACCGCAGUUGAAGGGAGAUGUUGGCAAGCUGGAAAGUGUCCAGAGGAGGGCGACUAAAAUGAUUAAGGGUCUGGAGAACAAGCCCUAUGAGGAGCGGCUUAAAGAGCUGGGCGUGUUUAGCCUGCAGAAGAGAAGGUUGAGAGGAGACAUGAUAGCCAUAUAUAAAUAUGUGAGGGGAGGUCAUAGAGAGGAAGGAGCAAGCUUGUUUUCUGCUGCCCUGGAGACUAGGACAUGGAACAAUGGCUUAAACUUCAGGAAAGGCGAUUCCACCUGAACAUUAGGAAGAACUUCCUCACUGUGAGAACUGUGUUGGUUUAUUUUUGGUGUAAGGGUGAAAUUAUGAAUCAAGUAUUUUUACUGUUGGAAGUUUACAACUGUGUGUACCGGACAUGUUUUCCAGGAACUUAAGUGUUAACAGCAGGCCAGUUUUGAGUGAUAGCCUGCAAGAACCAAUAGGUCGUGACUUCCGGUCUGAGAGGGUGUUCGUCAUUCUAUUGUGGAAUGUGCUGUUAUCGGCAGUGUGUGCUUCGCUGAUCGGCAAGGAGAGAAAUAUAUAGAAGAAAUCCAGAACCACACUGAAGACCUCAUUUACUAAAACAUUCACCCAGAAAUAAAGGAUACUUAAAUAAAAAUGGCUGUGUUGAGGAUCUAAGAAGAAAUGUCCUAAGCAGCUCAGCUUGCACUGUAUUCUGUGAGGUUCCCUGGAGGAACACAGUGAGAAUGGAACAGGUGCUGCUGGUAGACAAAGUAAAGCUCAAGGAACACAUAAAGGAAAUGCAGGAUCAGUGACUGGAAGGAAGAAAGUCAUAUAACUCAAAGCCAAAGUAGAAGAAUGACCCAAAACAGAUCAAAUGAACUAAAAUCGUCAGGUGUUUUCAAACAAUAAUCCAGUUGUGUCCAAAAGACGUCUUGUGCUUCAUAAGAUUGAAAUGGAAAGGCAAUGAAAAUAUCACCUCCAUAACUGAAAGGAGAAACUCAACCAAGACUUCAGUGUAGCAGUUUUGGAAUGAAAGGGACAAAGCCUCCUUGUACAGGUGUACUGGAGUGAUUGCCUCCACUGAUAAGCAUCCAGUCACACUCAAAACAUAAUGAACCCUAUGGUCAGAUACGCCAUUUGCGAACAACAUUCAUCUUUUCUUGAUCGUGUUUUAGUUAUCUGUGAUCACAGAUAAUGGUUUUGAACAUCUCCUGCUACACCUGAAUUAAAUGAAAAGUAGAACUGGAUGUUGUGAACAUACUGAUCUCACUUCACUCUAAAAUGUGGAUGACCUUGCUUUGCAGCUUCAUUUAUGUCAAAAAGCAUGAGACACAGUACAGAACAUUGUAUUGUACAUUAUAAUGUCCUGAUCUGCAUAGAUACCCAGACCAACUUUUCAGUAUCCUUCACUGCAAUAGGUAUCCUUCAUUUUAUUGUCGAAGGCUUUCAUGGCCAGAAUUACUAGGUUACUGUGAGUUUUUCUGGCUGUAUGGCCAUGUUCCAGCAGCAUUCUCCUAAUGUUUCACUUGUAUCUGUGGCUGGCAUCUUCAGAGGUUCUGUUAGCAGUGAAGCAAAUGGGGUGUAUAUAUACCUGUGUAAUGUCAAGGGUGAGAGAAAUAAACUGUCUGUUUGAAGCAAGUGUGAAUGUUGCAAUUAACAAACUUGAAUUAGUCAAUCAGUAUGGGUAUCUGCAUUGAGGUAACCUGGCUUUUGUUGCCUGGAGGCAUCCUCUGUUUGGGAGAUGUUAACUGGCCCUUGACUGCUUGUUAUCCUUCAUUUCCCUCUGUGUUAAACUAUUACAGAAAGCUAUGGUUGAUAGUAACAAAAGCUUCUGACAUGUCCAGAAAAAUAAGGUACAGUAUUGGUCUUCUUGGUUUUUUGCUUUUGUUGUUUUCAAAAACUGGUUAGAAAAAGAUCCCGAUCAUCAUGCCUGUGUUAACAGUCUUAAAAGUUUAAUUUCUGUGUUCUUAUGAUUCCUUAUAGUAUUAGAGAAAACCUAGAACCCUCCAUCCCCAGCUUCUAUCAGUCAAGAGAGACUAUUCUUUAUCUCAGUGGUUCCCAAACUUAUUUGGCCUACCACCCCCUUUCCAGAAAAAAUAUUACUCAGCGCCUUCUGGAAAUUAAUAUUUUAAAAGUUUUAAUAGCAAUUAAACAGAAAGAUAUAUGUAUUAAUGUUUCUACCUUUUUUGUAAAAUAUAGUAAAGAAAGGUGUAAAUUAGAAACAUCCAAGUAUGAAAUUAUGAAACUAUUUUUGAACUCAGAAUAGAAAGGUAAUACAAAAAAAGUUAGUUAUUCACCGCCCCCAAAUGCACCUGUGGCCAUCACCGCCCCCUGGGUCGCUGCAGUGCCCACCAGGGGGCGGUAGCGCCCACUUUAGGAAUCACUGCUUUAUCUCUUUGAAUGUUGUAGCAAGUUGCCCAGGUUGAUUAAUUAUAGUUGUCAGAUUAAGAGAGGUGAAAGUGCACCUAGAAUAUGCCUAACAAAUUUCUGUGGAUGAAAAUUUCUAUGUUUAGGCUUACUGCAUCCCCUAACCUCUGCAGGGAUGGAAGACCUAUUAAAAGGGUCCACCCCAGGAGGCUUAUGGAUCCGGACGGAUUCCUUAUGGCUCUUGGGGAAUUUCCUGCCACCUCAGUAAGUGAUCCUGUCGGUGCCAUGGUCUCUCUCUUUGGAAUAAGGAGAUAACUAGGGCAAUAGACACAAUUGCUCCAGAACGUUCCCUCUCGAAUAGCUGAGUUAAACCAACUCCUUGGUUCAACGAGGAGCUGGAAGCGAUGAAGUGAAAGAAGAGGGAACUAGAGUGCGUGUGGCGCUUAAGGCCGAGCAAGUCAAACCAAACACGGCUGUGUGCCUACCUAAGGGCAUACACUGCAGCAAUAGAUGCCGCAAAGAAAUAUUUCUACAAAGCCAAUACUGUGUCCGCAAGGAACCGUCCGGCAGAACUGUUUCGAGUAGUCAGAGGUAUGUUAAAUCCCGUCUCCCAAGACGGGAUUCCUGACAACUUGGCAGCCCGCGGCGAAGCAUUUGCUCGGUUAUUUGCGGACAAAGUCGCUCUGAUCUGCUCUGGCUUUGACACCAUAUUAACGGCAGUCACUGAGGAUGUAACACGAGCACCUGCUUGUCCCGUUUCAAUUGAUUCUUUUCAAUUGGUUCAGCUCGAGGAUGUGGACAAGGUGCUUGGAGAGGUGAGAGCAACCACAUACAUCCUAGGCCCCUGCCCAUCCUGGCUUGUAAAGGAAGCCAGAGGGGGUUUAGCAGAGUGGGUGAAGGUGGUGGUUAACGCCUCCUUUUGGGAAGGCAGCUUUCCAGCUGGCUUAAACUAAGCCAUCAUAAAACCGCUGUUGAAAAAAACAUCACCCCAUUCAAUUGGUGAACUAUCGACCUGUUUCCAAUCUCCCCUUUCUGGGCAAGGUCAUGGAACGUGUGGUGGCCUCAAAACUCCAGGCAUUCUUGGUAGACACUGAUUUUCUGGACCCGACACAUUCUGGCUUUAGGCCAGGACACGGUGCUGAAACAGCCUUGGUCGCCUUAGUAGAUAAUCUACGCCGGGAACUGUACAGGGGGAGUGUGUCCCUGUUGUUCUGCUGGACCUCUCAGCAGCCUUCAAUACUGUCGACCACGGUAUCCUUCUGAGACACCUUGCGGGAAUGGGCCUUGAAGGUACUGUUCUACAGUGGCUCCGGUCCUUCCUCGAGGGUCGCUCUCGGAAGGUGUUGUUGGGGGACAACUGCUCGACCCCACAGCCUUUGUUCUGUGGGGUCCCGCAGGGUUCAAUAUUGUCCCCCAUGUUGUUUAACAUCUACAUGAAGCCACUGGGAGAGAUCAUCCAGAGUUUUGGGGUACAGUGUCACCUGUAUGCAGAUGAUGUCCCAACUCUGUCAUUCCUUCCCACCUGCUACGAAGGGGGCUGUGCAAAUCCUGAACCGGUGCUUGGUAGCUGUGAUGGUCUGAAUGAGGGUGAACAAAUUGAAAUUGAAUCCAGACAACACAGAGGUACUCCUGGUCAGUUGUAAGGCCGAACAGAGUAUAGGGCUACAGCCUGUGUUGGAAGGGGUUACAUUCCCCCUGAAGACGCAGGUUCGCAAGUUGGGGGUUCUCCUGGAUUCAUCCUUGAGCCUGGAACCCCAGGUCUCGACGGGGGCCAGUGGAGCUUUUGCACAAUUAAAACUUGUGAGCCAGUUGCGCCCGUACCUUGGGAAGUCUGACUUGGCCAUGGCAACCCACGCUCUGGUUACAUCCCAGAUAGAUUACUGCAAUGUGCUCUAUGCGGGGUUGCCUUUGAAGACUGUUAGGAAGCUGGAACUGGUCCAACGGGUCGCAUCCACAUUGCUCACCAGAACUGCAUACAGGGAGCAUACAAUCCCCCUGUUGCACCAGCUCCACUGGCUGCCAGUUUGCUACCGAGCACAAUUCAAAGUGCUGGCUUUAGCCUAUAAAGCCCUAUAUGCUUCUGGCCUAGUCUAUCUGUCCAAACGUGUCUCCUUCUAUGAACCAUCCUGGAGUCUAAAAUCAUCUGGGGAGGCCCUGCUCUCGGUCCUGCCCUCUUCGCAGACGCGAUUGGGGGAAACGAGAUACAGGGCUUUUUCAGUGGUGGCCCCUAUGCUGUGGAAAUCCCUCCCCAGGGAGAUUAGAUCAGCCCCUCCCUCCUGAUCUUCCAAAGAAAGUGAAGACAUGGCUCUUUGACCAAGCCUUUGGAAACCUGGUGCAGUAACAUAUAUGAAGAUAAGGAACUGACCAAUAGAACGGCCUGGACUACGCUCUUGGAUCAUGUGGUUGACUCUGUUGUCAGAGUUAAAUGUUUAAUUGUGUUUUAAUUGUAUUUUAAUGGUUUAUUAUUUAAAUGACUAUUUUUGUACUUGUUUUAAAGGCAUUGAAUUAUUGCCACACUGCGAAGCCGCCUUGAGUCCCUUCUGGGGUGAGAAAGGCGGGGGUAAAAGCAUCGUAAAUAAAUAAAUAAAUAAAAAAUAAGGCACUAAUAAUAUAGGGAGCUGCUUUUCCAUUAUCUUGCCUGAUGGUAAUUUCACACAUCAAAGAACAGAUAGGAAGCUACUGGAUGGACAGGGAAAAUGUGUCCAUAUUGUGCAUAUAGCUAAUAAGAAAGAGAAAAAUUUAUUGAUUACAAAACACUCUUGUAGCUACCCCCCUCCCGAGAUGUUUGCAAUCUUUUAACCAGAAUACUUUCUGAUGAUACACGAGCACUUAGCCAACUAUUUAUAGGAAAUGUAACAACCUCUAAGGUCAAACAUUUCUGCUUGCUGAUUGGUCACUAUUGAUUAUUCUGUACAGAAGACUUUAUUUUUUUAAAGACACAAUUCGUAGUAUUCCCAAAAUGUUUUUACUUUUUUAUCUAUGAACUCUUGGGCCUGUUAGUGUUGUAGAGUCCUGAAUUAGUGGUGUGUUUAAGCUUGUUAUGGGUACUAUGAGUGAGGACUUGGAACAGGCCAUCUCUAAUGUGGACUUUGACUGAUGUGUUAGCUAUGGUGCACAGUCAGUUUUGGCUGACCUGCUUCCCAGUCACUUGUCUCUUAGAAGAGAGAAGCAAAAUGAAGGCAAUUCAACACAUGUCCUUCAGAUGGCAAACAUCACAAAAGAUUUGUGCAAGAAUUUGGCUGUAUGCUCAUCAGUCUUCUUGAGAGACUGUGUGUAAUUGGAUCAAGCAUUGCCACCAAAGCAGCCUUUGUACUAUUGAGUCUAGAGCAGUGUUUCCCAAACUCUGCUCCUCCAAGUAUUUUGAACUUCUCCUCCCAGAAAUCCCAGCUAACUUACCAGCUGAUAGAAAUUGUGGGAGGUGAAGUCCAAAACAUCUGGAGGAACAGAGUUUGAGAAAUACUGGUCUAGAGAAUGCAAUGCUUUCCAGCAGUUUAUCCUGGUGUACCAGCUGCUGGCACUCCCCUUUGGACAUUUCAGUUAAAACAAAAUAUUUUCCAUCUGCUAAUGCAAAAUGUAGGCUUUCCACACACAUCACAUCUUGCCGAUUCUCAAACCAGUUUCAUGAUUACCAAUCCAUUUUGGGUUAUCAUUACCCAAGAAUGUUGGUUAUUCUUUAGAUGCCUAAAGGACAAACACCUUCCAAAUGAGCUUGCCUGAGCUUUGUUAUCAUGAAAGGCUGUCACCUGAGUCUUCAUCAACAUCUCAAGUCAGAAGGACUUGACCAAAGGGCAGGAGAUGAGUAGUUCCUCUAUGGAGACAUCACUGACUAUCAUUUCAACACAAGCAAACAGUUGGCCUGGCCAUUCUAGCAGAAAGAAUAAGUUGGCUAACUAAUGGUAUUUGUGUUCUGCUGUAUGGUUUUAGCUUUUGGUUCUUUAAAUACAGAUAAUUUAUGAUAUUAUAGUACAUUUACCUGGAAGCUAUAGUUAACAUUUUAGAUGGCCAUUUUCGAAAUAAAUAAAAAAACAGCAACGUUUUAUAGUUUUACAAAACACACAUACAUUUGUUAUAAGAACAAAGCAAUGGGAAGGUAUCCUAAUCACUAGUACUCAACUUUAGAUAUAUCCUUGGAUGGAAGGGCAAGGGUUGUACACAGAAUUUAUCAUGGAUCAAAAAACAAAAGACAUUUAUAAACGUCUGUGAAUGGCCAAUCAUAAGAGAGAGCCUGUCAACUUACAAUGCAGAUGGCAUUAAUCUUUGAAAGGUUUGAAAAAUAGAUAUCUUAGUACAAGCUUCUGCUUUUACUGCAACUUAAUUAUUUAAGCACACUGCUUGACAAGGAAAUACUGUGAGCUGUAGCAUGCAAAGUAGUCUGUAACCCUAUGCAUAUCUGCUUUUGGUUCAAGAGGCUCCAAGAGGCACUGAGGCAAACUACAGACAAACAUGGAAAACUGAAGGGCUUUUAUAUAUUGUAAGUCUGAUUAAAGAGGAUGGGAACGUGAUUAAGAAAGCAUUACUUAAUUUGGGUACAUGGGAAAGAAUAGCAAUGCUCUCUAGAAGACAACCAACCAACUGAUCUAGAAAUGCGAAUGCAGUUCUCUUGAAAUGACCUGUUCCUUUCCUCUUCUUAAAGGGACAGCCAUAUAUACUGGGCUGAGAGAGGGAGAUCCUUUCUGUGGAGAAUUUCCUAUAAAUAUUUUCUUAUGGGCAACAAACUGAUAUUUCUCAACUGGUGCCAAGUGGUGCUGGUGAAGCACUGCACAAAUCUAUAAUUUACUAGCUGUGCCUAGCCAUGUGUUGCUGUGGCUUAUGGGAAUCAUUUGUUGGCCAGGUAGCCUGAGGAUUUUCUAUCUAGGGGAAAUCUUGGUUGGCCAAGUUGAACAGCACUGAAUAGCCUUGCUCCUUGCAAGCCUGGCUGUUUUCUACCUGUGGAAUUCUUGGUUGACCAGGUUGAAUGGCAAUUAAUAGUCUCGGUAUGGCAAGUAUGAACGCUGCAAUUAGUCACCUUGAUUAGCAUUUAAUGGCCUUGCAGCUUCAAAGCCUGGCUGCUUCCUGCCUGGAGGAAUUCUUUGUUGGGUGGUGUUAGCUGGUCCUGAUUGUUUCCUGUCUGGAAUUCCUGUUUUCAGAGUGUUGUUCUUUAUUUACUGUCCCGAUUUUAGAGAUUAUAUUGUUCUGUUUUAUUAUAGCACAGUAAUUUUCAUAUAUUAUAUUUAUAUAUUAUAUUAUUUGCUUUGAACUAGAUUAUAUGAGGCCCCUUCUACACAACUCUAUAAAAUCCACACUGAAUUGGAUUAUAUAUCAGUGUGGACUCAAGAUAAUCCAGUUCAAAGCAGAUACUGUGGAUUAUCUGCUUUGGCAAUCUGGGUUAUAUAGCUGUGUGGAAGGGCCUUGAGUCUACACUGUCAUAUCAUCCAGUUCAAAUCAGAUAAUCUGCAUUUUAUAGGCAGUAUAGAAGAGGCCUAAGUGAGGCCUAACUCUGCCUGUCCCAAGGCCAUUGUGGCUGAGUGGGUUGCUAGAAGACGAAGUGGGCAGGGCCCAAAGGACCUACCUAUCUCCGUGAUCGCCUCCUCCCCUACAAACCCUUCUGAUAGCAGCCAGGGGGGAAAAAAACAGCUCUUCCUCGUCCUCUAAUUUGGACUUCAUUUUUCUAGGGUUUUUUUGUUUGAAAGACAAAGUGAAGGAGCACUGUAGUUCCAAAGAAUUGAGGAUGUCUGCUUCAAUAAUAUUCAAGUCCCUUAAAGUAAGUUCUCCAGUGCCUUCCAAUAUAAAUUACUCAAUGUUAGCUUUACAGGAGGAGCACUAGGAUCUAACUCUAAGUCCACAAACCCAGCCACAUUUCUUGCAUUUAAGAUUUCAACAGGUAUCAACAGGCCCGGGCUGUGGCGCAGGCAGGGGAGCAAGCCAGUGCAAUUAACUGCAAUGAAUCACUCUGACCAGGAGGUCAUGAGUUCGAGCCCCGCUCGGAGCCUAUGUUUGUUUGUCUUUGUUCUAUGUUAAAAGGCAUUGAAUGUUUGCCUAUAUGUGUAAUGUGAUCCACCCUGAGUCCCUUUCGGGGUGAGAAGGGCGGAAUAUAAAUGCUGUAAAUAAAUAAAUAAAUAUUGUCUACUUAGUUUCGCAGAUACCUUUAAAGUACAUGGAUUAGUGAUUUCAUAUCUCACUAUAACAUUUACAUACCAUCUUUCUGACUCAAUAAUAUAUUUGCACUAUUUGGAGGAAAUAAAGUAAUUAAAAGCU